rnacentral:rRNA from 1 species
UACACAUGCAGUCGAGCGGUAACAGGUCUAGUUUACUAGAUGCUGACGAGCGGCGGACGGCUGAGUAACGCGUAGGAACGUGCCCCAAAGUGAGGAAUAACUGCCCGAAAGGGUAACUAAUGCCGCAUAUGAUCUUCGGAUUAAAGUCUUCGGACGCUUUGGGAGCGGCCUGCGUUAGAUUAGGUAGUUGGUAGGGUAAUGGCCUACCAAGCCGACGAUCUAUAGCUGGUCUGAGAGGAUGAUCAGCCAGACUGGGACUGAGACACGGCCCAGACUCCUACGGGAGGCAGCAGUGAGGAAUCUUCCACAAUGGGCGAAAGCCUGAUGGAGCAACGCCGCGUGCAGGAUGAAGGCCUUCGGGUCGUAAACUGCUUUUAUAAGUGAAGAAUAUGACGGUAACUUAUGAAUAAGCACCGGCUAACUACGUGCCAGCAGCCGCGGUCAUACGUAGGGUGCAAGCAUUAUCCGGAGUGACUGGGCGUAAAGAGUUGCGUAGGUGGUUUAUUAAGCGAGUAGUGAAAUCUGACGGCUCAACCGUACAGGCUAUUAUUCGAACUGGUAAACUCGAGAAUGGUAGAGGUAACUGGAAUUUCUUGUGUAGGAGUGAAAUCCGUAGAUAUAAGAAGGAACACCAAUGGCGUAGGCAGGUUACUGGACCAUUUCUGACACUGAGGCACGAAAGCGUGGGGAGCGAACGGGA